rnacentral:rRNA from 1 species
AGAGUUUGAUCCUGGCUCAGAUUGAACGCUGGCGGCGUGCUUAACACAUGCAAGUCGAUCGGUAACAGGUGUAGCAAUACAUGCUGACGAGAGGCGGACGGGUGAGGAAUAUUUGGGAAUCUGCCCAUCAGCGGGGGACAACCCGGGGAAACUCGGGCUAAUACCGCAUACGCUCUACGGAGGAAAGCCGGGGACCGCAAGGCCUGGCACUGAUGGAUGAGCCCAAAUCGGAUUAGCUAGUUGGCGGGGUAACGGCCCACCAAGGCGACGAUCCGUAGCUGGUCUGAGAGGACGAUCAGCCACACCGGAACUGAGACACGGUCCGGACUCCUACGGGAGGCAGCAGUGGGGAAUAUUGGACAAUGGGGGAAACCCUGAUCCAGCGACGCCGCGUGGGUGAAGAAGGCCUGCGGGUUGUAAAGCCCUUUCGGUAGGGAAGAAAUCUCUUGUUCUAACAAAACAAGGGUUUGACUUAACCUACAUAAGAAGCACCGGCUAACUCUGUGCCAGCAGCCGCGGUAAUACAGAGGGUGCGAGCGUUAAUCGGAAUUACUGGGCGUAAAGCGCACGUAGUCGGCUUGCCAAGUCGGGUGUGAAAUCCCCGGGCUCAACCUGGGAACUGCAUCCGAAACUGGCUUGCUAGAGUAUGGGAGAGGGAGGCGGAAUUUCUGGUGUAGCAGUGAAAUGCGUAGAUAUCAGAAGGAACAUCAGUGGCGAAGGCGGCCUCCUGGACCAAUACUGACGAUCAGGUGCGAAAGCGUGGGGAGCAAACAGGAUUAGAUACCCUGGUAGUCCACGCCCUAAACGAUGACAACUGGAUGUCGGGAGGGUUUGCCUUCCGGUGUCGUAGCUAAC